rnacentral:rRNA from 1 species
GAUGAACGCUGGCGGCGUGCCUAAUACAUGCAAGUCGAGCGAACGGACGAGAAGCUUGCUUCUCUGAUGUUAGCGGCGGACGGGUGAGUAACACGUGGAUAACCUACCUAUAAGACUGGGAUAACUUCGGGAAACCGGAGCUAAUACCGGAUAAUAUUUUGAACCGCAUGGUUCAAAAGUGAAAGACGGUCUUGCUGUCACUUAUAGAUGUAUCCGCGCUGCAUUAGCUAGUUGGUAAGGUAACGGCUUACCAAGGCAACGAUGCAUAGCCGACCUGAGAGGGUGAUCGGCCACACUGGAACUGAGACACGGUCCAGACUCCUACGGGAGGCAGCAGUGGGGAAUCUUCCGCAAUGGGCGAAAGCCUGACGGAGCAACGCCGCGUGAGUGAUGAAGGUCUUCGGAUCGUAAAACUCUGUUAUUAGGGAAGAACAUAUGUGUAAGUAACUGUGCACAUCUUGACGGUACCUAAUCAGAAAGCCACGGCUAACUACGUG